GCUGGCUAGAGCGCUGCAUUCACAUUGCAGAGGUCGAAGGUUCAAGUCCUUCCGGGUCCA
rnacentral:tRNA from 1 species